rnacentral:lncRNA from 1 species
UACUAUAGUGAUAUCAGUUGCUACUCUCAAGGCCGUGGUUUUUACCUUAUUCAGAAGGGUUUUCCACGUAAAAAUCUUGGUCUCAUUGUUACUCUUUUUAUUAUUGUUAAUUACCAUAUCUCGGUGCUACAUUAUUAUUCCGCUUUUAUUACCGUGAAUAUUAUUUUGGUAGGGGUUUUAUUCCCAACAACAUAUUAAUUAGGGGUGUACAUAAGUCGGAUUGGUUCGGAUUUUACAAUUACCAAACCAAUUGUGUCGGGUUAUUAAAUUUAAAGACCAAACCAAAUCAAUAAAACUCGGGUUUAUCAAUAUCGUUUUUUCUCGGGUUUCCUCGGGUUUUCGGGUUAUGCGGAUUUUUUUGCGGUAAAAUCUUCGUAGAACAAAAAAUAUAACGUGUGCUCAAAAUAUUUAUUUAAUCCUAGUAAGAUACAACUACAUAAAGUAUUUUUCAAGAAAAUAAUACAAAAUAUGAGAUGUGACAUGACAUUAUCGUAAAAUGUUCAACAGUAAAG